CCGCCCGUCACAUCACGAAAGUGGGGUUGUACGUUAGAAAGUCUGCACGCUAACCCGCAAGGGAAGCAGCGGCCCAAGGUAUGACUCAUGAUUGGGGUG
rnacentral:rRNA from 1 species